rnacentral:sRNA from 1 species
CGGAGGACAUUAUUGAUUGCGAAUCGUUACCUUCAGUGCUGGCCAGCUCUGGCAUGUGCACGUCGGUGACUUUCAUCCAAUACCCUGUGCACCUUUGGCCUUUGCUAGCUUCGGCUGGGAGAGGAAUUUUUACACACACUCGAAUGUAAUGAAAUAUAUUAUUGUGCGCAAGCCCUAAUGUACAACUUUCAACAACGGAUCUCUUGGCUCUCGCAUCGAUGAAGAACGCAACGAAAUGCGAUAAGUAAUGUGAAUUGCAGAAUUCAGUGAAUCAUCGAAUCUUUGAACGCACCUUGCACCCUUUGGCAUUCCGAAGGGUAUGCUCGUUUGAGUGUCAUUGUACUCUCACUCUCCCGAUCUUUGGAUUGGGAGUGGUGGACUUGGGUGUUGCCGCUUUACUGUGGCUCACCUCAAAUGCAUUCGUGCACCUCUUGAUUGGACAUAAUACGGCGUGAUAAGUGUCUUCGCCGGCACCUCACUAGAGGGUGGCUGAUUAGGAGCUCUGUGCUUCAAACCGUCUUCAGACAAUAGCUGACAACUUGACCUCAAAUCGAGUAGGACUACCCGCUGAACUUAAGCAUAUCAAUAGCCGGAGGAAUACUCCCCUCAGAGUAUGCUUCAAAACUCCGGGUUUAACCCGGUUGACUGAAAUCCAGCAACGAACUCAAAAAAUUCACCACGGAUCUCUUGGGUUCUGGGGCCUAUGAACAACGCAGCCCAAAGCGAUAAGGACUGGGAGUGCGAAUUCACUUGAUCACCCAUCUUUAACACACAUUGUGCCCCCCUGGGGUCCCGAGAGGAAUGUUGCUCAAAGGCAUUUUAUCAAC